UUCGCCCUUAGAGUUUGAUCCUGGCUCAGGGCGAACGCUGGCGGCGCGCCUAACACAUGCAAGUCGAACGAGCGAGAGAGAGCUUGCUUUCUCGAGCGAGUGGCGAACGGGUGAGUAACGCGUGAGGAACCUGCCUCGAAGAGGGGGACAACAGUUGGAAACGACUGCUAAUACCGCAUAAGCCCACAGGUCGGCAUCGACCAGAGGGAAAAGGAGCAAUCCGCUUUGAGAUGGCCUCGCGUCCGAUUAGCUAGUUGGUGAGGUAAUGGCCCACCAAGGCAACGAUCGGUAGCCGGACUGAGAGGUUGAACGGCCACAUUGGGACUGAGACACGGCCCAGACUCCUACGGGAGGCAGCAGUGGGGAAUAUUGCACAAUGGGGGAAACCCUGAUGCAGCGACGCCGCGUGGAGGAAGAAGGUCUUCGGAUUGUAAACUCCUGUUGUUGAGGAAGAUAAUGACGGUACUCAACAAGGAAGUGACGGCUAACUACGUGCCAGCAGCCCGCGGUAAAACGUAGGUCACAAGCGUUGUCCGGAAUUACUGGGUGUAAAGGGAGCGCAGGCGGGAAGACAAGUUGGAAGUGAAAUCCAUGGGGCUCAACCCAUGAACUGCUUUCAAAACUGUUUUUCUUGAGUAGUGCAGAGGUAGGCGGAAUUCCCGGUGUAGCGGUGGAAUGCGUAGAUAUCGGGAGGAACACCAGUGGCGAAGGCGGCCUACUGGGCACCAACUGACGCUGAGGCUCGAAAGUGUGGGUAGCAAACAGGAUUAGAUACCCUGGUAGUCCACACUGUAAACGAUGAUUACUAGGUGUUGGAGGAUUGACCCCUUCAGUGCCGCAGUUAACACAAUAAGUAAUCCACCUGGGGAGUACGACCGCAAGGUUGAAACUCAAAGGAAUUGACGGGGGCCCGCACAAGCAGUGGAGUAUGUGGUUUAAUUCGACGCAACGCGAAGAACCUUACCAAGUCUUGACAUCCUGCGACGGACAUAGAAAUAUGUUUUUCCUUCGGGACGCAGAGACAGGUGGUGCAUGGUUGUCGUCAGCUCGUGUCGUGAGAUGUUGGGUUAAGUCCCGCAACGAGCGCAACCCUUAUGGUCAGUUACUACGCAAGAGGACUCUGGCCAGACUGCCGUUGACAAAACGGAGGAAGGUGGGGAUGACGUCAAAUCAUCAUGCCCUUUAUGACUUGGGCUACACACGUACUACAAUGGCGUUAAACAAAGAGAAGCAAGACCGCGAGGUGGAGCAAAACUCAGAAACAACGUCCCAGUUCGGACUGCAGGCUGCAACUCGCCUGCACGAAGUCGGAAUUGCUAGUAAUCGCAGAUCAGCAUGCUGCGGUGAAUACGUUCCCGGGCCUUGUACACACCGCCCGUCA
rnacentral:rRNA from 1 species